rnacentral:rRNA from 1 species
AAGAACUCUGGAAUGAGUCUUCGCUUAAAAGAGGCUGGGGUUAUGCUCUCCAGUUUCGCCCAAGGAUGGGGCCGCGGCCGAUCAGGUUGUUGGUGAGGUAAUGGCUCACCAAGCCUUUUACCGGUGCGGGCCGUGGGAGCGGGAGCCCGGAGAUGGGCACUGAGACAAGGGCCCAGGCCCUACGGGGCGCAGCAGUCGCGAAAACUUUGCAAUAAGCGAAAGCUUGACAGGGCUAUCCCGAGUGCCAUCCGCUGAGGAAGGCUUUUACCCAGUCUAGAACGCUGGGGGAAUAAGGAGAGGGCAAGUCUGGUGUCAGCCGCCGCGGUAAUACCAGCUCUCCGAGUGGUGUGGAUGUUUAUUGGGCCUAAAGCAUCCGUAGCUGGCUAGGUUAGUCCCCUGUUAAAUCCACCGAAUUAAUCGUUGGAUUGCGGGGGAUACUACUUGGCUAGGGGACGAGAGAGGCAGACGGUAUUUCCGGGGUAGGGGUGAAAUCCUAUAAUCCCGGGAAGACCACCAGUGGCGAAGGCUGUCUGCUAGAACGCGCCCGACGGUGAGGGAUGAAAGCUGGGGGAGCGAACCGGAUUAGAUACCCGGGUAGUCCCAGCUGUAAACGAUGCAGACUAGGUGUUUGGACGGCCACGUGCCGUUCUAGUGCCGCAGGGAAGCUGUUAAGUCUGCCGCCUGGGGAGUACGAUCGCAAGAUUGAAACUUAAAGGAAUUGGCGGGGGAGCACCACAAGGGGUGAAGCUU